CAGAUCACAACUUCAGUUCCUGUGUUUGGAAGGGCACAGGGACCAUCCCCUCCUUAUGAUUGGUGGGACACAAGACACUUCCAAAAAGCCGAAAAAGCAGUGGAUGGAUUAUAUCAAAGAAGAUUGUAAGAAGGUGGACCUUAGCGCUGCCUCAGACAGAAAAAGAUGGCAGAUACUCGCAUGACAGCCUGACCCCAUAUGAUGGGAUAAGGAGAAGACAAAGGAGAUAUUCAUGAAAAAAAAAUCUAUUCACUUUUCUCUUAAAGUGUACAGAACAUUCUAACAGCUGGAACUGAAGGACCUCUGUCUCAUUCUUUCCACAGGCUGCAUGUGCUCUGGGGAUAGAUCAGGAUUGUGGAGUGAAAGGAGGCUGUUGUCCAUAGAACCCCUGCCUCAUUUGUUACACAAGUUGGAAGACUACUUGAAAAUUGCAGAGGGUCUCGGCAGACCACUUAAUGAUCUUUCCAAAUGUUGUUUGUACCAUUAGCCAACUAUUGUAAAGCACUUUGGA